rnacentral:tRNA from 1 species
GCCCCGUUAGCUCAGUCGGUAGAGCAUGAGACUUUUAAUCUCAGGGUCACGGGUUCGAACCUCGUACGAAGCU